rnacentral:lncRNA from 1 species
AAGGAAGGUGCAAGUGGGAGGUAUCUCCAGAUUGUGCUGCACUGUGCUUGGUACUGGGAGAACCUAUGAUGCCAACUGUGGGGGGAAUAAAGUUGCUUAGCAACGUGGAAAUGGGAGAAGCUAUAAGGCUUCCCAGUGUUCACGCAAUCGUCCCUAUUUCUGUGCCUCUUCUACCUUUCAUCCCAGAGGUUAACUGGUGCUGUGAAUUCUGAAAUGUGUCAGACCCACACUGCAGUCUGAAGGCUCUCUCGACCUACGCUUGCUCCAUCUCCCGUUUAUCCUCCAUUUAUGUUUCCUCUAAUAAAUUCUUGCACAUCUAACUUUGUCAUGUCAUCUGCUUCUCUGAGGACUCAAAUUAUCACCUGGGAUUUUGGAAAGAAGUUUUAUUAGAUGUCUAGUCCACUG